UCGGAUUACUGGGCGUAAGCGUGCGUAGGCGGCUUGAUAAGCCGGUUGUGAAAGCCCCGGGCUCAACCUGGGAACGGCAUCCGGAACUGUUAGGGUAGAGUGCAGGAGAGGAAGGGUAGAAUUCCCGGUGUAGCGGUGAAAAUGCGUAGAGAUCGGGAGGAAUACCAGUGGCGAAGGCGGCCUUCUGGACUGACACUGACGCUGAGGUACGAAAGCGUGGGUAGCAAACAGGAUUAGAUACCCUGGUAGUCCACGCCGUAAACGAUGUCGACUAGCCGUUGGGGUCCUCGAGACCUUUGUGGCGCAGUUAACGCACUAAGUCGACCGCCUGGGGAGUACGGCCGCAAGGUUAAAACUCAAAUGAAUUGACGGGGGCCCGCACAAGCGGUGGAGCAUGUGGUUUAAUUCGAUGCAACGCGAAGAACCUUACCUACCCUUGACAUCGUGCGAACUUUCCAGAGAUGGAUUGGUGCCUUCGGGAGCGCACAGACAGGUGCUGCAUGGCUGUCGUCAGCUCGUGUUGUGAAAUGUUGGGUUAAGUCCCGUAACGAGCGCAACCCUUGUCCCUAUUUGCCAGCGAUUCGGUCGGGAACUCUAGGGAGACUGCCGGUGACAAACCGGAGGAAGGUGGGGACGACGUCAAGUCAUCAUGGCCCUUACGGGUAGGGCUACACACGUGCUACAAUGGCCGGUACAAUGGGUUGCAAAGCGGCGACGUGGAGCUAAUCUCAUAAAGCCGGUCUCAGUCCGGAUCGGAGUCUGCAACUCGACUCCGUGAAGUCGGAAUCGCUAGUAAUCGUGCAUCAGAAUGGCACGGUGAAUACGUUCCCGGGCCUUGUACACACCGCCCGUCACACCAUGGGAGUGGACUGCACCAGAAGUGGUUAGCCUAACUUCGGAGGGCGAUCACCAC
rnacentral:rRNA from 1 species